rnacentral:lncRNA from 1 species
CUCUGGACCUGUACUGGUUUAAGGUUUUGGGUUUUUUGUUUUUUUACUGCAGCAUGUUAAGAAAUGUUGAGUGUUCCCUUCUGCGUAAGCAAAUGGACUUUGUCCAUCUCACAUAUAAUGGAAUUAAAGAAAGUUGGUUAGUCUAAUAAAGUCAGGAUGUGGGUCUGUGGUCGGGUGUAUUGACUUAUGUUUCCAAUAGCAGGUCACAUUGUGUUUUAUGAAAAACAAGUCUUUGGAAAAGUGAUCAGGCAAACUUGGCUCCAGUUUGUGCAUGAACACAACCCAAAGAAAUACGUCUUAAUUCUUUUCCCCUGCCCUUAAAAAUCUCGAGCUCCUAACAGCCAAUGACAGACUGAGCUAUUUCUGCAAAAGCAGGUGUCUGUGAUUAAAAACUCUCAUGCCUGCAAACCUUUCAUAUGUGUCUUACUGGGGUUUGUGUGUAGGUUGUAAAGUUUGGUAUAAAGACCUUGAAAACUUUACCUGAAUAACAGUGACACAAAGGCGUUACUUAGCCUGAGCCAAGCUGUAAGGUUUUAGGUGAAUGUCGAGAAACAAUAAACUUCUUGACAUUGUUCAGCCAUUUAACCAAGAGAGACCUCUUCUGUGCAAAGCAAUGGCAGUUUGUUAUUUUAUUUCAGUACCUCAAUAAAGAAUAAUUUGAAAAAAUAAAGAGUUUUUCAAGUCUGCAUAGGAUUGAGAAGGGGCUUUUAUGUGAAUUUCAUGUUUUUAUUUGCCACAUAUAGGGUUUUCCAGUAUUCGCCUUCUGAGUAGCAUGAGCAAUUCUUUGUCACACAUAGAUAUGCGAUGACUCUCCAAUAAUGAGAAGAGACAAAUCAUUGAAAAGACAGGUUUCUGCAGUUCAAGAACUAUCAACACAAAAGAUUCAGCAUGUGGAAUCGGUUGAUGGAGAGGAACAAGGCCAACCCCAGAGGUCUUACGAGCAACAGGAAAAGAAUGUGCAUGAGAAACUACAGCCUACACUCUACAGGGUAGACCGCAAGAAGAUAUAUGAACCAUGUCCACGAUGGAGUGGACUUUGUGUCUUGUCUACAUGUGGGUAUGCGAUAAUUCCUCACGUAAGAAGUGUCCUGAAUUUUUGUUGCAUUGCAGAGAUACUUCUUGAAUAGCAGAUGAACUUUAGAUGACUGUGAUGCCAGGCCUUCAACACAUGUGCUAAGUGCAUCUGCCAGCAGUCACACAUUAUAAAGAGAUGGUUAUAUGGUUUAUAAAUUUAAGGGCAAGUGCAAAUAUUCCUCAUUACACAAUAGUCAGAGUUAAUAAAUUCUCCAUAUAAUGGAAACCCUUUCUGCUCAAUUACAGAUGCAAAACUUGGGAAAAAGUAUGAGAAAAAAAAAUCCCCAAAAGAUCUAUCACAUAUGGUCUUUGAUUGAUAAAUAGAUCUAGCAAGGGCUGAGCUGUUGCAGCUGUACCUUGUGAUAACUGUACCCAUUUGAGGAGAAACUGGCUCAAGAUAAAAGUAUCUCAAUUGCUAAAAAAAAGAAAAAGAAAAAGUCUGCUGAGCCCUGUCUCGAAUUGUUAAAUAAUGAUUAUGUUAGAAAAAUAACAAUUUUCAAAAUAGAAGCAGGCAUAAUGACUCUUAUUUCACAUCAUUACAGUAAAACAGAGGAAAAUAAAGGCCGUAAGAGUUCUGAAGAGGAUAAAAGAGUCUAGGACAAGGGGCCAAGAGCAAGAUGAAAACAAAAUUCUCUGCAUCUUCUUCACCUGGACACGUCCUCCCAGACACGGUUAGAUAGUUCUCUUUUGUCAGAACCUAUAAAGGUUCCUUCUUGCACUGCAGCUGGGGUAAAUUAAACUCAGUAGAGGUUAGAAGUGCAAGGAAUCUGAUUGUAUGUCUAAUUAAAAACAAAGAGCUUAGAGAUUACUUUGAAAAUACAACCAAGAUAAACGUGUCUCACUGGCUAAAAAAAAAAUCUGCUGAGUUCUUUUUUGAAUUGUUAAAUAAAGAUUAUGUUAGAAAACUAACCAUUUUUAAAAUAGAAGCAGCCAUAAUGUCUCUUAUUUUAGAGCAUUACAGUAAAACAAAGGAAACUAAAUGCCUUAAGAGUUCUGGAGAGCAGAAGAACAUUCUGAGGCAGAAAAGCCAUGACCAAAAUGAAAGCAGAGUUUUCUGCAUCUUCUUUACUUGGACACCUGUCCUCCCAGAAACGUCCUUUUUUCGGUACCUAUAAGGAUUCGUUUUUUGCUCUGCAGCUGGGGUAAAUUAAACUCAGUAAAGGUUAGAACCGUAGCAGAUCUGAUUGUACGUCUAAUUAAAACCGAAUAGGUCAGAGGUUACUUUGAAAGUACAGGCAACAACAUGAAGCAAAUGUAAGUACACCUGUUGCCAUGGUAACAAAAAGGAAUAACACAUGUAAUUUCUGAUUGAGGGUAAUUACACGAAUGAAGUUAUAAAGUGACCGAUGAACAGCACAGCUAUCUUAUAAUUACCUAAUGCAAAGUGACUUACCAAGUAAGAAACCAGACUGCCAUCCUUAAAAAUGCAACAACAACAGCAGGUGACUACCCAAGAGUUACAUCUUGACUCUGCAGGUCUUAGAUAACAUGUCAAAUGUAACAUUUCAUGACAGAACAAAUAUUGUUUCUUUGGAAGGCUCCAAGAGAAGGGCAUUUCUCUCUAAAAUAACAUAGAAACAUAGUUUACUUUGCAAAAAUUGCAUAUGAACAAACUGCCAAAUUUCUGGGACAGAAAAGAUCGAACAGGUAAUGUCUGGCCAUAAAGCACAGCACCACAUUUGGAGAAAAACAAGGAAAGCAUAUCAGAACAAACUAUCAAACACUCUGGUGGUAGUUAUGAUGGCUUGGGCUUGUUUUGUAGCCACAGGACUUGGACAACUUGCAGUCAUUAAGUUGGCCAUGAACUCCUCUGUAUAUUAAAACAUUCCAGUCAGUUAAAACACUAACUAAAGCUUGGCCCAAAUUGGUAAAGAUGAGUUUUUUUGGCUGAAUUUUUAUUGUGACUUCAUUCUACACUUAAAUGCAUUAACAUUACAUGUGGUCUAAGUUAAAGAAUUUUGACUUAUUAACCAUCGGUUUGCUGUUUUAAUAUUGACACAGUUUGUUAUAUACUCAUAAUCCCCCCCCCCAAGCCAAAACUGAAUUAACCUGAUGUUUUUCACUAUUAGUGACUUCUGCUUUAAAAACUGUCACCUGCUAAAAUUGUUCUGAACAAGAAGCUAAGUAAAAGGUUUUUCCUUGUUUGGCUCUUGGCAGGUACAGCACCUAAGCCAUCGCCAUACUUUAAUGUUGUCUGUAUACAAACUGCAAAUGUAAUAAAUCAUUAAGUCAUUGACAGCAAUCUUUGCUGAUCAUCAUUUUCUAUACAUGCAAUAAAGACUCCGGGGUGCAUUCACUCAGUCACACUCAUCACCUCACAUCAGUGUAGGUCUGACAGCUACAGGAAGGUCUUGUUCAGUGUUUAUCAUUCUGUGUAGUGGAAAACACCCCCAUCUAUCAGCUAGCCCCGUCUGAUAAUACGCUCCCCUGGAAAUGCUAUUUGCAUGUACCUGGGAACUGCCUCUCAGUGGGCCCAUUUGAAUGUGUACCAGAUUUCAUUGCUCUACAGUGCCCUAUUUUCAUGAUACAUUCAUCCAAGUGGCCCAUUCAGCUUUAAAACACCAUCUGCAUUUCUGUUUGCAUCAGUAGUCAAGCAAGAACUUUGACUCUGUAUGAUGCCGACUCUACUCCUCUCGUGAUAUUGAUUCCAAUUUUAUUUUCCUGCUACUUAAAUUCUGUUAAGACUUGAAUUUCAGAGUCUUUAAUGGAUCUUCUUGUGUGGGAUAACCAGCUUGCUGCUUAAAACACCAGACAAGAGAUUUCAUGAUCUUAUAUUACAUCCCUCUAUUUAUCUCUAUUGUUUAUCCCAAACGGUUGGUGUUGUAAUCUUUAGUAGCUGGAACUUUUCAGUGAGAGCUCCACUGAAACUGAAGAGGAAGAGGAGCAGCCAUAUCGCCAUCCAGAGACUAACACAGACCUGCCCUCUGAAUACUGGCAAGUCCAGAAACUGGUCAAGUACCUCAAGGUAUGAGAAGUUCACUCUGCACAACAGUGUUUCCUUCCUCUCAUGAAUUUCAUCCAAAAAACAGUGAAUUGAACUGAGCCACAGACUAGAUCUUUUCCUGCUGUCUCUACAAGAAUCUUGAUGUUGACCUGAAUCGGCAUACAAAUUUCCACAAACUCUCCACAAUUGCAUUUCAAGGAAAAUAAUAUUUAGUCAUGGAUGCGCACCAGAACUUAUAAUGGGAUAUUUUCCUUUCACAUAAUCCCACCUGUCUGUUUUGUUCAAUCACAUCAAGGCACACUCAGCGACAAAAGGGAUGUCAGAUGAAAUGAAGUGUAGGUCGCUCCCAUUUAAAACAUUGCUUUGUAGGGAGAUGUUUAUUGAAGUGGUAGACUCGGCUCGUGGAUUCCUGGUUUCUGACACAGGCCUGUUUGGUUGCACAUGCGAGCCAAGUGCACAGGGGGAAAGAGCUGUCUGACGGCAGCAGCUGUACGCAUCGUUUGCCCACACCGCAGAAGCAUAAAAAUGAAAUGCACUCGUGAUAGGUCUGACGGGGCAUAUGGUGAAUAUUAAUGUGUCAAAACAUGGAAAGAAAAGAAAAAGGACAGAAUGACAAUUGCUCAGACUGGCUGUGAAUACCUCUGACCGCUUGACUUGAGCGAUUACCUUGCCUCACUCAGUGGGCCCAGUUAUCUGUUUAUGUGCACAGCAUCAUUCAAACAGAUGAUAUUCAAGGAACCUAUUUUGCUGGAUGCCUGUCCUUUGGUAUUUAGCCGUAAAAAUACCUCAAAUGCUGUUUCAGUUGAAAGAAAAUGAGUGUUAUUUCAGUGUGUAACAUUAGUCUAGAUUUCAUAUUUUUACACAGUGUGGGAUUUCCUGAUGUUGCUGAUUUGGCUUCCGAAGCCCAUAGCUUGGUGCUAAAUAAGAUCAUUCACAGUGCAAGUAAAACUUUUAUAGAAAACACUGCCAUAAAGUACAAGCCCUGGUGAAUAUUUUUAGCUUAGCUAAACAGAAUAUAAUGGAAGGAAAUUCCCACUCUAAAAGCAGGCUGUUGCUCCGUUCCAGAAAAAAGAAAAAAAGAUGUAAAUGAUACGAAAUUCAGAUUUAAAAAAAGAAAAACAAAAAACUCUCUGGUUUGUAGAUUUUGUGCUUUUCAGUGGGAUUGUGGCACGAGCUUUAGGGUUGUGUGUGCGUUCCUGCUUCAAUACAAUGCAACAAUGCCGUAACCAACAUGUCCCAGCUUUCUAUCUGUCUGGACGCCACACAGCACAGUUAUUUAUGGGGUUUGUCCAGUAGUCAUUUUAUAAUAUCAUUACCAUCAGACGCUGAAAGUUACCAUGAGCCAAGUUAAAUAUCUGUUUUAUUUUAGGAGGAGAUCUUUUUUCUCCUUCUCCUUCGCACUAUAGACAGCCAUUUGUACUCUAGGAUGUUUAACACGUUCAUAAAGUGACACAUGGAUGUUCUGUUUUGUGUUUUAAUGAUAUUUAUGUAAGAACAUGUUUGUUUUUGUACCUGCAUAACGGUGACCUGUGGCUAUGCUACGGUAACAUGUUUGUAAGUGUGCUAUAGAUGAAAAUUUUAAUUUACACUCCUUAUUUAUUAGUUGUAACCUGCAUGUAUCCUAAUGUGUUUAUGCUGAUAAAGGCUGUGCAUGCUAGGAAAAGAAUUCUGCAAAUUGUUAUAAACACACAGGCUAUGGAAAAAGUGCAAAGGAGUCAAAAGAAGGGCUGCUUUACUUAUCGGGACUAAGCAAUGUUAAACAGAUACAAAUACAC